rnacentral:rRNA from 1 species
AUGGUAGCACAUGAUUUUAUUGUUAAAGAUAAAAAGAAGAUGCUUAAAUAUAGAUUAAUAUUUGAUAAAAAAUACUUUGAGACUAUCACCUUGCCUGCUUCCUCUUUGUUCAACAUAUUUUCAGGCACGUACAUUGUUUUGCCGGAGGCCAUUGCAUACCGGAGCCAGACAUUAGCUCCAGAGCCCGAGCCGGAGCCACCACUUGAUCCUUACCGUCAGUCUGUUUAUCAAUGGGAUCUGGAAGAGACCGUCAAUCAGUGGCACCCAGAGGACAGUCCUCCAUACACCGGAGAGGGUCACUUUGAUCCAUGGGCAUAG